CAGUCAAUUCAGUAUAUUUGCAGUCAGAGAUAAGUUUAAGUUGAUAUCAUAAAUUUUUAGAUCAUGGUUCCGGAAAGGAGAUACAGAUGUAGAGAAGCUCCAGCAACGCUACUACUCUAAUCUCAAGGUUUACGGUUCUUGGUCGACAUGCGCGGUGUUGAUAUUGAUGACUGAGGGAUGAAUCGUGACUUAAUGACUAUUACUUAUUAUUUGUUAUGAAUCUUCAUAACUGCAAUACCGCGUAUUUGUAGAAAAGAAAGAAGCCCGCCAAGUUUGACACUUGCCCAUGAUUAAAUUCAGUAGACAUGUGCGCUUUUGUGUGAUUCAAUCUAUAUAUACAGUGGUGGUCUGUGACAAUUGAGAGAAGAACAAACUGGCAAUGAAGAAAACAACACAAGCCUCUGACGCUCCAGUUGCUCAAACCGGCGUUAUGUACUCUUGCCGAUGGGGUUAAAGUGAGUUCUUUCACUAUUUCAAGUUUAUGUUGGUAGAAAGGUGGGCUCGGUCACUGUUAAUGCUAUAUUUGGCCCGAGAGCUAUGGAGGUGGCUUUAAAGUUUGAGCAUACAAGCAGCACAGGACGUAACCAUGGGCCACCGUUUGAGUGGCAAGUUUACAAGGCACUUGGUGGCAGUCAUGGUGUACCACGAGUUCAUUUAAAAGGUCGGCAAGGUAAUUUUUACGUGAAGACGAGCUGCUCUGGCGGAAGAGUUGUUUGUGUUAAGACAAGUGGAUGAGUUUGAGGCGAAAGGAUUAAGUCCUCCACCAAGGAGAAAGAAUUGAUUUGACAUAAACGUUAUUUUAGGGAUUUGGCUUCUCCUGAGGCUUCCGUUAGAGAAGCAGCUGCUAUCUCCUUGGUGACGAGGCUGCAGGAGAUUCAGAAGCAGUACAAGAUGUUGCCUGAUAAGGAAUCUGUUGACGGAGGAUUGAUGCUCGAGGCUCAGAAGAAUGAUGGGUUGGAUAACUGUGCACCGCAUCUCAGAUACGCUCUAGGCAGGCUUAUUCGUGGUGUCUCUUCUUCCAGAGAGUGUGCAAGACGAGAAUUGUGUUGGGGUUGACAUUACCUGUUAGCUUAAUCUCUAGCAUUAAUUUGUGAAUUUCUACUGCAGCUCAUUUCUGAUUCAUCCAUGAAGGGACAAGAUGUAAAAGAAUGCUUACUGGGCAGGUUGUUUGCUUAUGGUGAUCUAGCAUGAUCUGAAGACUAGAGAAUAUACAUAGCCCAGUUUGGAAGUUGCAAGUUCACUGACAAUUUCAGUGGAUGUCAAAAUCUUGCCAACCAAAAGGUUCUUUGCAAAAAACAAUUUUGCAACAGACUGCACAAAUGUAACUGUAAUUAUUAUAAUAUUCUCAAUUAUAUAUUAUAAGAUAAAAAUAUUCUUCUUCAUUGUCUACAGAAGAGAGAAAAUUUAAGUAAUAUUAGUGUUUUAUUAUAAUUUCCAGUGAAAAAAGUAGAAGAGAGAACAUGUUUUUACGUCUAA